UACGUAGGGUGCGAGCGUUAAUCGGAAUUACUGGGCGUAAAGCGUGCGCAGGCGGUUUGCUAAGACAGGUGUGAAAUCCCCGGGCUUAACCUGGGAACUGCGCUUGUAACUGGCAAGCUAGAGUGUGGCAGAGGGGGGUGGAAUUCCACGUGUAGCAGUGAAAUGCGUAGAUAUGUGGAGGAACACCGAUGGCGAAGGCAGCCCCCUGGGAUGUGACUGACGCUCAUGUACGAAAGCGUGGGGAGCAAACAGG
rnacentral:rRNA from 1 species